UUCCGACAAUGGCAAACCUGGCGAAAGCCAGCGACGCAAAGCUAUAGGGGCGUAACCGCGGCGUUAAUGAACGCCGCAAGCCAGCCAGCUACCGAA
rnacentral:ncRNA from 1 species